GACGUAGGGCGCGAGCGUUGUCCGGAUUUAUUGGGCGUAAAGAGCUCGUAGGCGGCUUGUCGCGUCGUCCGUGAAAACCCACAGCUCAACUGUGGGCUUGCGGUCGAUACGGGCAGGCUAGAGUUCGGUAGGGGAGACUGGAAUUCCUGGUGUAGCGGUGAAAUGCGUAGAUAUAGGAAGGAACACCAGUGGCGAAGGCGGGUCUCUGGGCCGUAACUGACGCUGAGGAGCGAAAGCGUGGGGAGCGAACAGG
rnacentral:rRNA from 1 species